UACGGAGGAUCCGAGCGUUAUCCGGAUUUAUUGGGUUUAAAGGGUGCGUAGGUGGAUUGGUAAGUCAGUGGUGAAAGUUUGCAGCUUAACUGUAAAAUUGCCGUUGAAACUGCCGGUCUUGAGUGCAAAUGAGGUAGGCGGAAUGCGUCGUGUAGCGGUGAAAUGCUUAGAUAUGACGCAGAACUCCGAUUGCGAAGGCAGCUUACUGGGAUGCAACUGACGCUGAGGCACGAAAGCGUGGGUAUCAAACAGGGUUAGAUACCCU
rnacentral:rRNA from 1 species